AUUGAACGCUGGCGGCAGGCCUAACACAUGCAAGUCGAACGAGUGGAGGACGUGUGAGUAAUGUCUGGGAAACUGCCCGAUGGAGGGGGAUAACUAAUGGAAACGGUAGCUAAUAACGCAUACCAUCGGAUGUGCCCAGAUUGGCUUAGCUAGUAGUUGGGGUAAAGGCACGCCUAGGCGACGAUCCCUAGCUGGUCUGAGAGGAGUACCAGCCACUCUGUGACUGAGACACUGUCCAGACUCCUACGUUAGGCAGAUGUGGGGAAUAUUGCACAAUGGGCGCAAGCCUGAUGCAGCCAUGCCGCGUGUAUGAAGAAGGCUUUCGGGUUGUAAAGUACUUUCAGCUAGGAGGCGUUACUCGCAGAAGAAGCACCGGCUAACUCCGUGCCAGCAGCCGCGGUAAUAC
rnacentral:rRNA from 1 species